rnacentral:rRNA from 1 species
GUAGGUGGCAAGCGUUGUCCGGAAUUAUUGGGCGUAAAGCGCGCGCAGGUGGUUCGUUUAAGUCUGAUGUGAAAGCCCCCGGGCUCAACCGGGGAGGGUCAUUGGAAACUGGGGAACUUGAGUGCAGGAGAGGAAAGUGGAAUUCCACGUGUAGCGGUGAAAUGCGUAGAUAUGUGGAGGAACACCAGUGGCGAAGGCGACUUUCUGGCCUGUAACUGACACUGAGGCGCGAAAGCGUGGGGAGCAAACAGGAUUAGAUACCCUGGUAGUCCACGCCGUAAACGAUGAGUGCUAAGUGUUGGGGGGUUUCCGCCCCUCAGUGCUGCAGCUAACGCAUUAAGCACUCCGCCUGGGGAGUACGGCCGCAAAGACUG